rnacentral:misc_RNA from 1 species
AUGUUUACACCGUCCCAUAAUAAAAUGGCUAAUCAACAGAAAGUUAACCUCGGGCGUCUGCUUUAUAAACGAUUAAGUCGUGAGAUGAAAAUUACAGCAAACCCAAAGGAAAAAUUGUAUGACACUCCAGUAUUUCAAUACAUUGCAAAUCAGUUCAGAGAGCAUCAAGUUACCACCCAGAAAUUAUGCAAAGGACAGAAUGAAGUGAUGAUGGUAGGCCAGACCUAUCUUUGUAUGCUGGAGAGUCUGCGAAAAUCUGAGGUAUGUCACAUUCUUCCUCCUAGACUUACUAGGUAAUUAUUGACAUCAAGAUAUCAAUUUCUUUCCUGUUAAUGCAAUGGUUUAAUGAAUCAGAUAUCUUGAUGCCAGUUUGAAAAAUUGCAAACUUAAAAACCAGGUAACAGAUUUGAAGAACAAUCAAAACACAAAACAAACAAAAAAAUUGUGAAUACAAAUGUACAUUGACUGUAGAUUACCGUAUACAUUUUUUUACCAGAUCACUUAUUAUUAUUAAUUCCACAUAGAUACACAGUGUAUAUUUUUUUUUUACAUUUUUUGGAGUUGAUUUUUAAUCAACUCUCCUAUGCAGUCACUCGGACAAACCGAAAGUGAAACAGUGUUUGGACCUAAGCACAAAUCAUUGCUCCUGACAAGACUUAGUUCUUGAAAAUAAUUGAUGAUUUCGAUGUGAUGUAUGCUAAAGCAUUGUUUUUCAAGGAAACUUAUUUACAAAUACCUUAAAAAUAGUCAGAUUUUAAAUGGUACGAACAAUUUAAAUAUUUUUGUAGUCGUAUGUAUUUCUACGCCAGAGUUCAAUAUAGUCUCGUUCAACUCGACGCUCGGCUGUCUCCGUAAACCCUUGUCGGAGAUUUACGGUGUCAGCAGACCAUAGUUCAAUAUUGCUUGGAUCCAUACAAUUUUCGAGAAAUAUUUCUACCACUGAUACAUACUUUGAUUGAAUUGAUUUUAUCUUUAAAUAUUAUUUAACAUGAUUCAUAUGGAGGUUUCUCGACAUUCUAGUCGAAAAAAAUUCAUAUUAUAAAAAUAUGCGUAAUUCAAAUUAGAAACUACGUAUACGUGUACUUGUCAUGCAAAAAAACAUAUCAUUGAUUUUAAAAUAAAUAAACAUCGACAAAAUCAACUCCCGUCAGUUCUUCAGUACUUUGAUUAAAGAAGUUCACACACAAUUAUAAUGAUAUCUAUGAGCUUUAUUCCAUUUGUUUUCAUUUAAUUUCAGGAACUUGCUCAGAUGUACAAAACCACAGAGAGAUCUAUUGAACAGAGUGCAAAUCUUGUUGGUCUAAAAUUACCGACUGUUGACCAUUGAAAGCAAAAAUCAGAGGCAGCUAUGAACAAUGUGUCUAGCUAUCUAACAGCACCAUUUAAUGACGUUGCCUUAUUUAUUUUGCUUGCUAUAUGGGCUGUCUAGAACCUGAAAUAGAUAUUUGAAUAGAGUUAAUAAUAAAAAAAAAAGAGAAAAAUCUCCAUAGAAUAUUUACAAGUAAUUUCAAGUUUCAGAUAACCAAUCUAUAUUAUAUUUUCCAAUUUUUAUAGCAAAUUUAUUGCCAUGCUGUUAUUGUUUUCAAUGAAUAAAGAAUUUUGAUUU